rnacentral:rRNA from 1 species
AAACUCCGGUGCUCCAUGCCUGGCUGGAACCACGCCGAUCCAUCCCGAACUCGGCAGUGAAACGAACAGGGGGAAAGAAAAACUCGUCGGGGAGCUGACGGGAAACUCUUUCCUAGUGCCGGGGU